rnacentral:tmRNA from 1 species
GGGGCCGACCGGUUUUGACAGGCUGUGUGAAGCCGGAUGCAGCAUGCAGGCUCAUGGGGUGAGAGCCUUAACAGAUAGCCCUACACCAUACGUGGCGAGAAUACUUACGCCAUGGCUGCUUAAUCUGACGGUACGUUAGGUUAGCUUAUGGCGCGUAAGACGCGCCAGGCCAUCAUCGCUCAGCGCCUUUGUUUUGCGGGCGCUGGUAUAGCGGUGUCGUUCAGCAAAACCGCUCCGUGCGAUGUCGCUAAGCACGGCUAAGACAAGCGGCUACGGAGUAGCUCAGGUGGUUGCCUGCCUUGCCACUCCCGACAAGUAAAGGCAACUAAGCAUGUAGAACGUUCGGGGUCAUCUUCGCUGGACCAGGGUUCGAUUCCCUGCGGCUCCACUU